CUCCCCACUCCUCUUUUAGCAAAUUGCGCGUUUACUCUAUUUGGAGAAUUUUAAGUCUUAGCCAAUCAGGUCAGCUUAGAUUGUGAGGUCCAACUCCAGCCAAUGGGGAAAGGACACAGAAACAAGAACUGCGUUAGGGAUAAAAACCCCUUCUCUCCUUUGUUGGGGUACUCUUGUGAUCAUGGCUGAUGCAGGCAGCACCCUUCUGUAGAAGUAAUUGCCUUACUGAGAAAACUUUUUGCCUGAGUGCUGGUUCUUCUUUGCGGCACCGAGCACUUGUUUCUAACAGAGACAUGUGCCACCACACCCGGUUAAUUUUUCUAUUUUUAGUAGAGACGGGAUUCUGCCCUGUUGGCCAGGCUGGUCUGAAACUCCUGACCUCAAGUGAUUUGCCCACCUCGGCCUCCCAAAGUGCUGGAUUACAGGGUUAGCCACAACGCCGAGCCAUAUUUAAUUUUAAUAUGUAUUAUCUUUAGAAUAAUUUCUUUUUUGAAAAUCUUUUGGAGUGUUUUAAAUUUCUUUCUUGCUCUUGAAACCUGGCAUAUAGCAGGUGCUCAACAAAUAUUGAAGGAAGGAAUGAGGGUGAGAGAGAGCAACGGUUUUCCAAGGGCCUGCACAGGAAAGAGACAGAAGGGCUCCAGUUGUCUUCUGUAACUGCCCCCAGCAGCUUCAGGCUCCAGGCAGGGAGCAAGGAAGCUAUCAGUACCUGGCAAUAUCAGAUUCUGUGCUGCGCCCCACCACCGUGAUGUCAACUCUAUGGAUGCUUUUGUCUUUUUUUGGCCUUGGGAGGGACCCCGUGGCAGAGGCUGCAGAGACCGGACUGGGGGCUUGAAGGUUUUGAUCCCGGUUCUGCUCUUGCUGUCUUUGUGGCCUUGAACAAAUCACAGCACCUUUCUGCACCUGGAUUUGACGGUAAGUAGAAUGGUAAUAGUAGUGUCUGCCAUGGCUAGCUCCUAGGGAAGUCCUGGGGGUCAAAGGAUCUUUGGGGGACUGAGUGGGGUGUGCUGCCAGAAGUCAACAAACCUUCACCCCUGGCUGGGGUAAAGAGGAAGGGAGAAAAGGAAUAGCAACUAAAGCAGGCUGACCAAGAGAUGAAGAUGACGGGGGUGAGCUGGACAGGAACCAAGCAGAAGCUGGGGAAGGAAGUCGUUUGAGCAGCACUGCCGCGAGUGAGUCUGGAUAUACAGUCAGCCACAAAGAUCUGGGAAGUGUUUUUCCAGCGUACAAGUUGCUCAUAACCUUGCGUGGCAGACAUUAUUUGUUUGUAAUAUGGAGAUGCUAUGCAUUUUGACCUUUCUAGAUUGUGUCUAGCUGGUUCAUGCCCCAUCAGCCCAGCCUGCCACAUGCCUCGAUGUGGCACAUGUCAGAUACACCUCGGUAUCAAUACAACUAGCAUCACCACAGCCCUUUUCUCUGAGAGCUCUCCCUUUAGGGGAAAGUCCUCUAUAUUCUCAGUCCUUGGCACAGGGUAGGUACUGGGCAAAUGUCUGUCAAUUAUGGAUCUUGUGAAUUUUGAAAGGGCUUGCCAAGUCUUUGGGAAAUGAUGAAAAAGAUACCUGUCUGAAAUGGGUUAGGAAGAAGUUUUUUUGAGGAUAGGUUUAUGACUCUUCCUAGAUCUAUGAUCCCAUUUUAUAAAUUAGAAAAUCUACCAUUUUGGGACUAACUCCUCAAAAUAAGAGUCAACAUACUUAAUUUAAAAAAAGUUUUAUUAAAUCAUUUAGACUUGAAAGAAGUCACAAUAGUUAACACACUUAAGUGUGUUCUGUACACCACCAACCCAAAUGGAUUGAUUUCAGAAUUUUUAUAAAUAAAACAUAAACAUAUUUACAGUGAAAAAUAAAAACAUGUUAGCAAGUUAGAUGAUUAAACUGUUACCUAUAAUCAGUUUGGGGGAAGUACCAACUUACAGGAUUACAUAUAAGACACUUAAGAUUUCAUUAGGCUUAAAAAGUCCAUAGUUGAAGAAGUUAGUUGUAAUAUAUAUGAUCCAUUUCUUACUACGGCUUUUUUCCUCCCAAAACUAGACCUUUCAACCAAUUUACAUAAAAAGCUUCAUUUUCCCUUUAUUGGAGGUAAAAGUACAAAAAGCUGUAAACCCACCCUAGAACCAUCUAAGGAAUAAAGCUAUUGAAUGCUACAAAUAGGACUAUAAAACUAUGGACAUAAACCGUUAUACAGUUUGUGCUACUUGUCCUCCAAAAUAGUGCAGAUUCCUAAUUUUACCCGCCAGGGACAAAAAUGGAGUCAGCUUUUUCUAGAAAUCAGUUUCAAAAUCAUCAUAUCUCUAGAAAGCAUAUUUCUAGAACAAUACAGUUACCACAUAGGGGGACUUUCCUUCUUCUGCAUUAUAAAAAUAUAUCCAUUUUAGUUCUCACUAUAUAUAUACAUAUUAGGGAUUGCUGCUACCUCCUUAGGCAAAUGGUGAGGGCUAUAAAGCUUGGCCAGCAGCCAGUUUCAAGAGACUAACAAAGAACAAAGAUAGCCCUUUCCUUAAGUAUAGCAAAACUCAGGAGUUGGCUCAAAUUAGGUUAUGCCCCCAAAUCCAGCUUAAAUUUGAUAUAAAAAAAGUAGUCCACAAAAAAAUUGAGCGAAGAACAAACUUUUCAAGUCUGCAAUUUUGGACAGGCAUAUUCUAAGAAGUAGGCUAUUAUCUGCAUCACCUAUUAGGGUUGCUAGCACAACUUAAGGCUAAUUGCUUGGCAAAGGGCUAUGGGAGUUGUUGGACUGUCUUGAAUGUUUUGUUCCCGAUGAACUCAAGGAGCGAGACCUCUGUCUGAGCACUGUUUUUCCUGGAAAGUCCAAGUCCUCAAAUACAGCAUUUUCAAUGAUGUUUAUAGCUUCAGGUCGUUCCAUGGGGGAUGGAGAGAGCAUGUCUUGAACCAUCACAUACUGAAAAUAUAAAAAUUGUUUUGUGAUAAAAUGGCCAGGUUUGAUCACUGUACAGUUUUUAAAAUCAGUGCUGGCAAAAUAUUUCUGUACAUAUUUUAAGCUUUUGAGCCAUAUUCGAGUUUUCAAGUCUCUGAUACAACUACUCAGCUCUGCCAUCAAUGCACAAAAGCAUCCAGAGACAAUUUGUAAAUUAAUGGGCAUGGCUGUGUUCCAACAGAACUUUAUUAUAAAAAUAGGUGGCAGGCUGGAUUUGACCUGUGGGCACUAGUUUGCCAACCCUCAUUCCAAAAAAACAUGGAAAAUUUUUGGGUAUUUUGAUUUUCUAACACAUUAUAAAGGAUUAUUUAAUCACAUCCCUGAAACAUAAAUAUAAUAUGAUUUUUAAAAAUCAUCUUAUAAUUGCAUGUAAAUCUACAAUUAUCUC